rnacentral:rRNA from 1 species
UACAGAGGUCUCAAGCGUUGUUCGGAUUCAUUGGGCGUAAAGUGUGCGCAGGCGGCCGCGCAAGUCGAGUGUGAAAGCCCCGAGCUUAACUUGGGAAUUGCGCUCGAAACUACGUGGCUGGAGUGUGGCAGAGGAAGGUGGAAUUCCACGUGUAGCGGUGAAAUGCGUAGAGAUGUGGAGGAACACCAAUGGCGAAGGCAGCCUUCUGGGCCAACACUGACGCUCAUGCACGAAAGCGUGGGGAGCAAACAGG